AACAUAAAGUUACACUUUUAAAAGCUCAUUUAACACUGUUUAACAUUUAAUUUAAAAGAAUUUACAAUCAAAUCUUCCGCCGAAAUAACUCCAGUAAAAAUAGAUCACCGUGAAGCAUCACGGGAAAAUACACAAGUAAACAAAGUAUGGCGGCGGCAGAAGUUUCAGUGAAACAUGUGUACUCGAAGACCAUAAAACAUCGAUCACACAAGAAAUAAGGAUAACAGAAAAAGACUUUAAGAGGAUGGACACUAAGGUCUUAGCAAGCAAAAAUAUCAAAGGCUUACUAAAUCUCCGGUCUGGCGUGAAAAGAUCAUCCAAGGGCGAAUGGUGCCCGGUAGCCCUGUGUGCCGGCUUGGGUAGGAUCUUCCGAGGAACUGUAACCACCGACUGUAACCUCUUAGGCUGCUUCCUCGGGGACCUUCUGCGGGGAACAGGAUUGUAGAGUUCACCCUCGCCGGGGCCAUCAUGUACAAACUUGACAUCUGAAACAGGACCAGGUCUGGAAUCCAUCCUCUUCUCAAGAUCCGAUAUGGUGGU